UACGUAGGUGUCAAGCGUUGUCCGGAUUUAUUGGGCCUAAAGCAUCCGUAGCCGGUUCUACAAGUCUUCCGUUAAAUCCACCUGCUUAACAGAUGGGCUGCGGAAGAUACUAUAGAGCUAGGAGGCGGGAGAGGCAAGCGGUACUCGAUGGGUAGGGGUAAAAUCCGUUGAUCCAUUGAAGACCACCAGUGGCGAAGGCGGCUUGCCAGAACGCGCUCGACGGUGAGGGAUGAAAGCUGGGGGAGCAAACCGG
rnacentral:rRNA from 1 species